rnacentral:rRNA from 1 species
GACGAACCGUGCGAACGUUGUUCGGAAUUACUGGGCUUAAAGGGUGCGUAGGCGGCGCGGAAAGUUGGGUGUGAAAUCCCUCGGCUCAACCGAGGAACUGCGCUCAAUACUACCGUGCUCGAGGGAGAUAGAGGUGAGCGGAACUUAGGGUGGAGCGGUGAAAUGCGUUGAUAUCCUAAGGAACACCGGUGGCGAAAGCGGCUCACUGGAUCUCUUCUGACGCUGAGGCACGAAAGCUAGGGUAGCGAACGGG